rnacentral:rRNA from 1 species
AUCAACUUUCGAUGGUAGGAUAGAGGCCUACCAUGGUGGUAACGGGUAACGGGGUGUUAGGGCACGACACCGGAGAGGGAGCCUGAGAAACGGCUACCACAUCCAAGGAUGGCAGCAGGCGCGCAAAUUACCCAAUCCCGACACGGGGAGGUAGUGACAAUAAAUAACAAUACGGGGUCCUUUCGGGUUUCGUAAUUGGAAUGAGUACAAUUUAAAUCUCUUAACGAGGAACAAUUGGAGGGCAAGUCUGGUGCCAGCAGCCGCGGUAAUUCCAGCUCCAAUAGCGUAUAUUAAAGUUGUUGCAGUUAAAAAGCUCGUAGUUGAAUUUCGGGAUCAAUACGUCGGUCGUGCCUCUGGUAUGUACUGGUGUUAUUGAUUUCUCCCUUCUGAUGAACCAUGAUGUCAUUCAUUUGGUGUUGUGUGGAGUCAGGACUGUUACUUUGAAAAAAUUAGAGUGUUUAAAGCAGGCUCACGCUUGAAUACAUUAGCAUGGAAUAAUGAAAUAGGACGUUCGAUCCUAUUUUGUUGGUUUCUAGGAUCGACGUAAUGAUUAAUAGGGAUAGUUGGGGGCAUUAGUAUUCAAUUGUCAGAGGUGAAAUUCUUGGAUUUAUUGAAGACUAACUACUGCGAAAGCAUUUGCCAAGGAUGUUUUCAUUAAUCAAGAACGAAAGUUAGGGGAUCGAAGACGAUCAGAUACCGUCGUAGUCUUAACCAUAAACUAUGCCGACUAGGGAUCGGAUGAUGUUAAUUUUUUAAUGACUCAUUCGGCGCCUUACGGGAAACCAAAGUGUUUGGGUUC